rnacentral:rRNA from 1 species
CGCGGGAUUGGGGACGGGGUGCAGCAGGCGCCAAACCUUUACAAUGCACGAAAGUGUGAUAAGGGAAUUCUGAGUGCUCAUGCAUAGCAUGGGCUUUUGCCAAGGGUAAAAACCUUGGCGAAUAAGUGGUGGGCAAGACUGGUGCCAGCCGCCGCGGUAACACCAGCGCCACUAGUGGUGACCAGCAUUAUUGGGCCUAAAGCGUCCGUAGCCGGUCUGUUAAAUCCUUUGUGAAAUUGUUAAGCUUAAUUUAACAACGUGCAGGGGAGACUGGCAGACUAGGGACCGGGAGGCGUGUGGGGUAUUCCUUGGGGAGCGGUAAAAUGUUAUAAUCCUUGGAAGACCACCUGUGGCGAAGGCGCCACACGAGCACGGAUCCGACGGUGAGGGACGAAAGCCAGGGUAGCGAUCCGGAUUAGAUACCCGAGUAGUCCUGGCUGUAAACUCUGCGAGUUAGGUGUUGCAUGUUCUUAGUGAAUAUGCAGUAUCGUAGCGAAGGCGUUAAACUCGCCGCCUGGGGAGUACGGUCGCAAGGCUGAAACUUAAAGGAAUUGGCGGGGGAGCACUACAAGGGGUGCGGCGUGCGGUUUAAUUGAAUUCAACGCCGGGAAUCUCACCAAGAGCGACUGCAGAAUGAAGGUCAGAUUAAAGGUCUUACCUGACACGCAGAGAGGUGGCGCAUGGCCGCCGUCAGCUCGUGCCGUAAGGUGUCCAGUUAAGUCUGGCAACGAGCGAGACCUGUGUCUACAAUUGCUAGCACUCUUAUUUGAGGGUGAGCACAAUGUAGAGACUGCAUUGGAAACAAUGAGGAAGGUGCAGGCUACGGUAGGUCUGUAUGCCCCGAAUCUCUUGGGCUACACGCGCGCAACAAUGGUAGGGACAAUGGGAUGCAACUCCGAAAGGAGAAGCUAAACCUCUAAACCCUAUCUUAGUUCAGAUUGAGCUUUGAAACCCAGGCUCAUGACGACGGAAUCCCUAGUAAUCAGACGUCAUCAUCGUCUGAUGAAUAUGUCCCUGCUCCUUGCACGAAUUAGCCGAAUCACUAGU